GUCAAGUCAUCAUGGCCCUUAUGACCAGGGCUACACACGUGCUACAAUGGCCGGUACAAAGGGUCGCCAACCCGCGAGGGGGAGCCAAUCCCAUAAAGCCGGUCGUAGUCCGGAUCGCAGUCUGCAACUCGGCUGCGUGAAGUCGGAAUCGCUAGUAAUCGCGGAUCAGCAAAGCCGCGGUGAAUGCGUUCUCGGGGAUU
rnacentral:rRNA from 1 species